rnacentral:rRNA from 1 species
GAUGCUGACGAGUGGCGAACGGGUGAGUAAUACAUCGGAACGUGCCCGAGAGUGGGGGAUAACGAAGCGAAAGCUUUGCUAAUACCGCAUACGAUCUCAGGAUGAAAGCAGGGGACCGCAAGGCCUUGCGCUCACGGAGCGGCCGAUGGCAGAUUAGGUAGUUGGUGGGAUAAAAGCUUACCAAGCCGACGAUCUGUAGCUGGUCUGAGAGGACGACCAGCCACACUGGGACUGAGACACGGCCCAGACUCCUACGGGAGGCAGCAGUGGGGAAUUUUGGACAAUGGGCGCAAGCCUGAUCCAGCCAUGCCGCGUGCAGGAUGAAGGCCUUCGGGUUGUAAACUGCUUUUGUACGGAACGAAAAGACUCUGGUUAAUACCUGGGGUCCAUGACGGUACCGUAAGAAUAAGCACCGGCUAACUACGUGCCAGCAGCCGCGGUAAUACGUAGGGUGCGAGCGUUAAUCGGAAUUACUGGGCGUAAAGCGUGCGCAGGCGGUUAUGUAAGACAGAUGUGAAAUCCCCGGGCUCAACCUGGGAACUGCAUUUGUGACUGCAUAGCUAGAGUACGGCAGAGGGGGAUGGAAUUCCGCGUGUAGCAGUGAAAUGCGUAGAUAUGCGGAGGAACACCGAUGGCGAAGGCAAUCCCCUGGGCCUGUACUGACGCUCAUGCACGAAAGCGUGGGGAGUAAACAGGAUUAGAUACCCUGGUAGUCCACGCCCUAAACGAUGUCAACUGGUUGUUGGGUCUUCACU